UUUUUUUUUUUUUGGGUGUAAAAGAUUCUCCUCGUCCCACCGUCGUUUUAGGCUUUUGGGUUGGUCCUUCCUGUUGUGUGUCUUUGUAUUCCUCUUUCAUUCAAAGUCUUUUGCUCUCUUUCUAUAUAAAUCUGGGACUGAAGAGGUACAAAGCCACCCUCAUUUGGCUGAAAACUUUGUAUUGGAGUUGGAGAAGAGACCCAUUGGGGCAUACCAUAGUGGGGGGCAGAGAGAGAGAGAAAGAGCCGUGUUUGGGAAGUGGGAAAUUUUUUUACAGCUUGUAGAAAAUGGAGAUGUUGAAAGUUCAAUUUUUUGUGAUGGCAAUUUGUGCCCUUGUUAUCUCUCUGCUUCUCCCCUCCAUCAAUGCUCAAACCCUUGCACCUACCCCUGCCCCUACAAGUGAUGGGGUAGCAGUGGACCAAGGAAUUGCUUAUGUGCUGAUGGUAUUGGCUCUGCUCCUCACCUACAUCAUCCAUUAGAGACCCCAUUUUUGGAGAAAGAUGAAAUUUAGAGAAGAGAAAAAUUCAAGAAAAAUUGUGAAGUGAAAUUGUUGCAUCAUUAUCAUGUUAGGCUUUGCUUGCUAGCCUAUGUUGCUCUUGUUGCUAAUUUUUUGUUACCAUUUUUAUCAAAUCCCCUAUUCUUUUUUCCAUUUCAAGAUUCAUUCAUUUCCAUA